UCAGAGGUGCAGCUCUGCUGGAGAGACCUGAGGCUUGCAACGCUGGGCCCGGCCGAGUCGCUGCGGCUGGGCUGGAGCCAAGGUUAACUAUUUGUAACAUGUCAUCUUUCAAGGAAGCAUCUAACCAAAAUUAAGUCAAAGGCAUCUACCAGGUCCUGAAUUCUCUCCCAGAUGCACACCUUUUAAGGUCAAGGAUGCAUUCCAGGAAAGUUCCAUAAAAAUAUACCAUCAACUCCAACCUGAUAUUUGACCUAGCUGUGGAAAACCUCAUUGGCUCCUCACUAGAUCAGACCAUAAAAAUGAUUCAGGAAUGAAAAUCUAAGAUAAAUUCCCACCACUUCAAGAUGUUCUUAUACAAGUCAACAGUCUAGCAGAUCAGCCAGUCUCUUUCAUCAUCAAGCAGACAUACUCAAGAAAGAGGAAUAGUGAAGUGAAAUAUACAGAAGCAUGUUCAAGUUCAUCUGUUGAAUGUGGAAUUGUGAAUAGUGACAAUAUUGAGAAAAAUACUGACUCCAAUCUGCAAACUUCAACUUCAUUUGAGCCACAUUUCAAAAAAAAA
rnacentral:sRNA from 1 species